rnacentral:rRNA from 1 species
AAAGCCUGACGCAGCGACGCCGCGUGAGGGAAGAAGGCCUUCGGGUUGUAAACCUCUUCAGGAGGGACGAAGCCACUCGGGUUAAUACCCCAGAGGGUGACGGUACCUCCAGAAGAAGCCCCGGCUAACUACGUGCCAGCAGCCGCGGUAAUACGUAGGGGGCAAGCGUUGUCCGGAAUCAUUGGGCGUAAAGCGCGUGUAGGCGGCCAGAUAAGUCCGCUGUGAAAUCUCGAGGCUCAACUUCGAGCUGUCGGUGGAAACUGUCUGGCUAGAGUCCGGAAGAGGAGAAUGGAAUUCCUGGUGUAGCGGUGAAAUGCGCAGAUAUCAGGAAGAACACCCGUGGCGAAGGCGGUUCUCUGGGACGGUACUGACGCUGAGACGCGAAAGCGUGGGGAGCGAACAGGAUUAGAUACCCUGGUAGUCCACGCCGUAAACGAUGGGAACUAGGUGUGGGCGGUGUCGACUCCGUCCGUGCCGAAGCUAACGCAUUAAGUUCCCCGCCUGGGGAGUACGGCCGCAAGGCUA